rnacentral:misc_RNA from 1 species
AAGUCGUAACAAGGUUUCCGUAGGUGAACCUGCGGAAGGAUCAUUAAAAACGUAUCCAACGUUAAACCAAACCUGUGAACUUGUUAAUCUCCCUUUGCAGAAGGAAGUCGGAGCUGAAGAUGGCAUGAAAUGGACGAAUAGAUUUUGUAAUGAGAUUUAUUCGGUUGUAGUUCUCAGUUACUGUAUAUUUUAUGUCGAAAGAUAUAGAAUAGUUUACACGAUGUGAUUUCUGCAGAGGCUUUUGCUCUCUAUUAGUAACGGUACUUCCAUACGUGAAGUAGAGGGCGCUUUUUUUUAUCAAACAACUAUUUCACCCCUUAUUUAAAGUUGGUUUUAUUUGUGAUUAUUAUGAAAAUAAUAAUCCAAGUUCUUAAUUGAACACAAUUACAACUCUUAGCAAUGGAUGUCUAGGUUCUC